rnacentral:rRNA from 1 species
UACGUAGGGUGCGAGCGUUAAUCGGAAUUACUGGGCGUAAAGCGUGCUCAGGCGGUUUUGUAAGCCGGAUGUGAAAUCCCCGGGCUCAACCUGGGAAUGGCAUUCGGGACUGCAAGGCUGGAGUGCGGCAGAGGAGACUGGAAUUCCUGGUGUAGCAGUGAAAUGCGUAGAUAUCAGGAGGAAUACCGAUGGCGAAGGCAGGUCUCUGGGCUGACACUGACGCUCAUGCACGAAAGCGUGGGGAGCAAACAGG